GGGUCAAUGAUGAGAACUCAUAAUGGCUUAAGAGAGAUGGUGACCAAAAAUCUCUUGCAGGUGUCAUCUGAGGCCC